rnacentral:tRNA from 1 species
GCCUGAGUGGCUCAGUCUGUUAAGCGUCUGACUUUCGCUCAGGUCAUGAUCUCACAGCGUGUGAGUUCAAGCCCCACAUCAGGCU